UCUCUGGGAGCACACCCUGCGCCCAGCACCGUUCUCGCGGGAUCUCUGGGUGCAGCCAGGGCCUCCCCGCGGUGUUUCUAUGGACCGAAGAUUCAUAUCCUGCGGAGGCCUGCGAUGAAGCCCUCACCCCGGGGUGAUGGGCUUUGGAGGUGGCGCCUUUGGAAGGGCAUUAGGUUCACGUGUGGGCAUGUAGGUGAGGCCCUGCUCGUGUGAUCAGUGACUUUCUAAGAAGAGACACUGCCGUGUGAAGCCAGGUUGAUAAGGUGGCAUCUGCAGGCCGGGAGGCGCACCCGCAUCAAACUCCAGGAUGCCAGCGCCCUGCCCUUGGACUUCCGGCCUCCAGAACCUCCUGGAGAAGUACAUGCCCGUGAAAGCCGCCUGGUCUGCGGAAUUGUGUCGUGGCAGCUGUUGCGGACCGGGGCUCUCUGUCCUGCUCUGUUGGAAAAGCUGACACCCAGAGCAGGUAGGAGAUUGUCCGCAUACUUCAGGCCCGCUAAAGGUUACAUACAAAGGUACUUUGAGGGUGUUUUCGAGUCUGAAGCCACGGAUGCUCGUGCCGAGAUAACCGCAGUGUCAACUGCAGUGUCUGGAUCCCAAGAGUCCAACACUUCCUUUUAGCAUCGUCAGUGUGCUCCUGAGAACACUACAGGCCCCUCUCGAACUUGGUUGUCUUCUAUGAAACAACAGUAACAGUAGACAGUAGCCUUGGAAGCAAUCUUCAGUGUGAAAGUACCAUUUAAUUAUUGUAUUGCGUGUACAAAACACGCUAUAAUAUAUACUAUAUACAAGGUAGUGUGUAUAAUAUUAUUUAUGUU